UGGGGAAUAUUGCACAAUGGGCGCAAGCCUGAUGCAGCCAUGCCGCGUGUAUGAAGAAGGCCUUCGGGUUGUAAAGUACUUUCAGCGGGGAGGAAGGUGUUGUGGUUAAUAACCUCAGCAAUUGACGUUACCCGCAGAAGAAGCACCGGCUAACUCCGUGCCAGCAGCCGCGGUAAUACGGAGGGUGCAAGCGUUAAUCGGAAUUACUGGGCGUAAAGCGCACGCAGGCGGUCUGUCAAGUCGGAUGUGAAAUCCCCGGGCUCAACCUGGGAACUGCAUCCGAAACUGGCAGGCUUGAGUCUUGUAGAGGGGGGUAGAAUUCCAGGUGUAGCGGUGAAAUGCGUAGAGAGCUGGAGGAAUACCGGUGGCGAAGGCGGCCCCCUGGACAAAGACUGACGCUCAGGUGCGAAAGCGUGGGGAGCAAACA
rnacentral:rRNA from 1 species